CCUACGGGAGGCAGCAGUGGGGAAUAUUGCGCAAUGGGCGAAAGCCUGACGCAGCAACGCCGCGUGGGGGAUGAAGGCCUUCGGGUUGUAAACCUCUUUCAGCAGGGAAGAAGCGAAAGUGACGGUACCUGCAGAAGAAGCACCGGCUAACUACGUGCCAGCAGCCGCGGUAAUACGUAGGGUGCAAGCGUUGUCCGGAUUUAUUGGGCGUAAAGAGCUCGUAGGCGGUUAGUCACGUCGGAUGUGAAAUCCCGGAGCUUAACUCCGGGCCUGCAUUCGAUACGGGCUGACUCGAGUGUUGUAGGGGAGACUGGAACUCCUGGUGUAGCGGUGAAAUGCGCAGAUAUCAGGAAGAACACCGGUGGCGAAGGCGGGUCUCUGGGCAACUACUGACGCUGAGGAGCGAAAGCGUGGGGAGCAAACAGGAUUAGAUACCCUGGUAGUCCACGCCGUAAACGGUGGGCGCUAGGUGUGGGGAACAUUCCACGUUCUCUGCGCCGCAGCUAACGCAUUAAGCGCCCGCCUGGGGAGUCGGCCGCAGGCUAAACUUAAUGAAUUGACGGCUGAGACGNGCGACGCGACGACGAGGAGAG
rnacentral:rRNA from 1 species